AACGAACGCUGGCGGCAUGCCUAACACAUGCAAGUCGAACGAGACCUUCGGGUCUAGUGGCGCACGGGUGCGUACGCGUGGGAACCUGCCCUUAGGUUCGGAAUAACUCCCCGAAAGGGGUGCUAAUACCGGAUAAUGUCUUCGGACCAAAGAUUUAUCGCCUUUGGAUGGGCCCGCGUUGGAUUAGCUAGUUGGUAGGGUAAAAGCCUACCAAGGCGACGAUCCAUAGCUGGUCUGAGAGGAUGAUCAGCCACACUGGGACUGAGACACGGCCCAGACUCCUACGGGAGGCAGCAGUGGGGAAUAUUGGACAAUGGGCGAAAGCCUGAUCCAGCAAUGCCGCGUGAGUGAUGAAGGCCUUAGGGUUGUAAAGCUCUUUUACCCGGGAUGAUAAUGACAGUACCGGGAGAAUAAGCUCCGGCUAACUCCGUG
rnacentral:rRNA from 1 species